rnacentral:lncRNA from 1 species
GCAGGCACCCCACUGGCAGUAGACAUAGUCCGAAGAAAUGCGGAGAAACGAGAAGGCUUACGAACACCUGUUCCAGAUCUGGUUUUACGAACGUCCGAGACGGAGGACGGCGAGACAACAGGCGUGACUCCUGGUUUAGGUUGGGACGCGAGGGUAGCAGCUGUUUUACGUGUCUGCCAAUACGAACGCAGCAAAUCUGCACAGUUAGUCAGGUUCGAC